rnacentral:rRNA from 1 species
AUGGGAAAGAGUGUUCACACUCCUUUCUUUACACUUGAGCUGGAACAUGGUGGUCUUUUCUGUGGAUCUAUCACUGCCCCAGAGUAUUAUAACUCUUCUUUGGAGGUCCUUGACUAUGUUGAUGCUUGCACAUUUUCAUAUGCAGUCUUAGAAGAACACCUAAAAUGGUUGGGAUAUCCUGCCAAUGAGCACAUUAUUUACUGGUGUUUACCUAAGAAAACACUUUCAGAUGGCUUGGUGAGAAUUAAGGGUGAUGAGGAUUUGCAGCAUCUUAUCACAGCUAGUGCUCAGCACAAAGUUCUUGCAGUUAUGGUUGACCAUGCAGACUUCAUCUGCAAUUUCAGAGAAGAUUUGAUAAUAAAGCUGCCAUCUGUUGUAAACCAUGUCAGAAUGGGCAACUCAAUUGUUGGUGCAAGCAGUGCAUCAUGUGGUCAGAGCAUUAUUUCAGUGAAUGUUGAAGAUCCAAUUUCAGAGGUUGCAGUUGAUGGGACAGCAGAAGAUGAUGUUCUGACAGAUUUGCUUAAUUCUGUUGCUGACCCAAAUUUGCUGACAUACUGUGCAGAGCCUGACCUGUUUAUAAGUGCAGAGCAAGACCUCCUUAAUUGUGCACAGCCAGACCAGGUUAAUGCUGCAGAGACAAAUGUGAUUGUUGCUGCUCCAGAUCCAAAUUUGCAACCUGAAAAUGAUGUGCUGUCAGAUUCAGAUUUCAAUGACAGUGAUUAUGAAAUAGAUGAUGGAGAUGAUGAUCUUUAUGAAGAAAACAUUGACUUUGAUGUUGAUGAAGAGGCUGAGCAAGAGGAGGUAGAGGUUGAGCCUGACUAUGUCCUUGAAGAUGAAGAUCUCAACCUCUCCACACAAGCACAAGAUCAACUGAAGCACAAAUUCAGAGCUUUCAAUUCCAAGGUGGACAUGAAAUCCCCUGUUUUUAAACUAGGUAUGGUAUUUGCUGAUGUGGUUGAGUUGAGAAAAGCUCUCAAGGCCUAUUCAAUAAGGAACAGAGUGCAGAUCGAGAAGCUUAAGAAUGACAAGAUCAGAUUGGAGGCAGUUUGUCAGGGUGGUGGUUGCCCAUGGGUGCUUAGGGCUGGAAAUGACAACAGGACUGGAGGUUUUGUUAUCAAGGCAUAUAAUGGAUUGCAUAAGUGCCAGAAGAAGUGGAAGUUAAAGGAUAUGACAACAAAAUUCCUAUGCAACUUUUUCAUUGAUGAGUUCAGAGAUGACCAGAAGAUGUCCAUUGGAACAUUUUCAAGGAAAAUAACAAAGGAAUUCAAUGUUACUCCUAAUAGAUGGAAGCUUGCUAGGGCUAGGAAGCAAGCACUUAAGGAGAUACAUGGUGAUGAGGAAGAGCAGUUCAGCAGGCUAUGGGAUUAUGGGCAUGAGCUAAGGAGCAAAAACCCUGGGUCUACAUUUCUGCUAACAACUACACUUGUCAAAGAUACAAAAUUUCCAAUGGGCAGAAAAUGUUUGAAAACAUUAUAUUGGUCAUAUGAUGCUUGUAAGAGAGGGUGGCUAAAGGGCUGCAGGCCUAUUCUCUUUAUUGAUGGUUGUCAUAUGAAAACAAGGUUUAAAGGAGUGCUCCUUAGUGCUGUUGGAAUUGAUCCUAAUGACUGCAUAUUUCCCAUUGCAAUGGGCUGGGUGGAAGUAGAAUGCAAAGGUUCAUGGGAGUGGUUUUUGACCACUCUAAAAGAUGAUCUAAAUAUUACAAACACAGCUCCUUUCACAGUUAUGAGUGACAAGCAGAAAGGGUUAAUAAUUGCUGUGCACAAAGGAGAGGUACUGAAGCAAGAUCUUUGGGCUAUUGCAAGAUCACCAAACAAGGUAAAAUGGAGAGAGAACUGUCAGAAAAUGGAUGAUCACUGCCAAGCUGCCUUCCACUGGACUGAGAGGCUUGAGCCAAACACAUGGUGCAAGGCAUUCUUCAGGGAUUUUCCCAAAUGUGACAUCCUGCUUAACAACAACUCUGAAGUGUUUAACAGCUACAUUCUUGAUGGCAGAGAGAUGGCAGUGCUUAGUAUGCUUGGAUAUAUCUUCUACAAGAUCAUGCACAGGCUAGUGAGUAAACAAAGGGAAGCUAUAGAAAAGUGGGUAGGCCAGAGAAUAUGCCCAAAGAUUCAGAAGAAAUUGGAUAAGAAUACAGAGUUUGCUGCAAACUGCCAUGUAUCUGAAGCUGGACAACAAUUGUUCAAAGUACAGUCUGGUAACAAUUGUUACGCAGUGGAUCUUGCUUUGCACACAUGUGAUUGCAGAAGAUGGCAGUUGUCAGGAGUACCAUGUGGUCAUUGUAUAGCAUGUUGCAGGGAGGAGAGGAUUGACCCAGAGACAAUGGUUCAUGACUGCUACACGGUUCAGACAUAUCUCAAGGCAUAUGGGUACACUCUUGUUCCUCUUGCAGACCCAAAGCAUUGGGAGAAACAGAAUGGGUACAAGGUGCAUCCAUCAGUGUUUACUAAACAGUUGGGAAGACCCAAGAAGAAUAGGAAGAAAGCACCAGAGGAGAAGAUCAAGAAUGGUGUCAGGGUUCUGAAUAGAAAAGGUGUGACAAUGCACUGCUCAAUCUGUGGCAGAGCUGAUCACAACAGGAAGGGGCACUACAAAUGGCUGGAAAGUCUCAUUCAAGAUGGGAUAGAGGUGGUUGAUGAAAGCUAUGAUGACCCUACCUUUCUUCAGAACAUUUUCCCAAACAAUGUAACCCUCUGUUGGAUCCAAUUGAUUCACCAACAAGUAUGGUUUUCACCAUGGCUCAAAGGGAAAUUUCUACAAGAGCUCCUCAAAGGGCAUAUGGCCCAUUACCACAGCAGUCUACCUUUGUUGUUGCUGCUGGUGCUGCAAUACCUCAGCCAGUGA